rnacentral:lncRNA from 1 species
GGAACCUAGAAGCAACCGACAAAGGACACAGCCUUGAACAAGAAGCUCUGGGCUGCAGCAGCUUGUUUACUGUAAGGUUCAGGCUUGCCCCAUGUGUUCCGAAUGAUGGACUGCACCUUUUCCUUCAGCUCUGUCACACUGUGCUCGCUGCAGCUGGACAAGGAGAAGCUGGAUCGGUGGAAGUACUCUCGGCACGUAAGGCCAAGACACAGCGAGGGCAACCUAAACCCAGUGGGUCGGGGAUGCCAGAACAGCCGCACAGAGCCGCUGGAGUGUCGGGACCUGCUGGUCCAGAACGCACUCUUCACUGGGGACCUGGAGAUGGUUCAGAAGUACUUCACCAAGGAUGCGGCUAUCAAUCUCAUCAUUGAGACCAAGGGCGAUGAGCUGCGCUGGACUAGCAGGAAAUUUGAUGAUGCUGGUGGUGAAAACCUCACUGUGCCAAAAUAGCAGAGCUGUUGAUGAAAGCUGCUUUCCCGGAGACGACAUAUGGUGUGAACAGAAUACAUGCAAUGCUGACAGGAGCUGUGAGCAAAGAGCCAGCUGUGCUGUGUGGUGCUAAUGUCGUGUAACCGAAACAGGGGCAGGAUGGGCAUGUACAACCAAGCUGGGACAGUGGGAAGAGGUCUCUCAGGGUGAAGGGACAGCGAUGAGGAACCCUAAUGGAGGGGACUGUCAGAGGAUGGGAAAAGGCAG